UACGUGAAACCGUUCAGGGGUAAACCUGAGAAACCCGAAAGGUCGAAAGGGGAGAUUCAACGCGACUCGGAGCUCGCGAGCGGCGUGCGACUGACGGGCGGCCGUUUCGUGCGGCCAGCCCGCUCCGCGCGUCGACCGAUCGGGCAUCGAACGCGUGCACUUCUCCUCCUGUAGGACGUCGUGACCCGUUGGGCGCCGGCCUAAGGACCGCGGUGGAGCCCGGACGCCUUUGGCGCGUCCGGACCCGCGGAUACCCGGCCGGCACGACCGACGGUACAACUACGGCGCGGGGCCGCGACCAGUUCGCGUCCGGCGCGUCGCAAGCGCGAACGGUAAACGGGGGCAGUCCGGGCCUAGUACCGGAUCCCGACCCGUUCGGCUGUUAGCGGCGCAGUCCUCGGACAGACCCCGUACACGCCAGUCUACGGCGCUAUAGCUUUGGGUACUUUCAGGACCCGUCUUGAAACACGGACCAAGGAGUCUAGCAUGUGCGCGAGUCACUGGGACUCAAUUAAACCUAAAGGCGCAAUGAAAGUAAAGGUCCGCCUCGCGCGGACCGAGGGAGGAUGGGCCCGUCCACGGGCGGGCCCCGCACUCCCGGGGCGUCUCGUUCUCAUCGCGAGAAGAGGCGCACCCAGAGCGUACACGCUGGGACCCGAAAGAUGGUGAACUAUGCCUGGUCAGGACGAAGUCAGGGGAAACCCUGAUGGAGGUCCGUAGCGAUUCUGACGUGCAAAUCGAUCGUCGGAAC
rnacentral:rRNA from 1 species